rnacentral:rRNA from 1 species
AACGAACGCUGGCGGCAUGCCUAACACAUGCAAGUCGAACGAGACCUUCGGGUCUAGUGGCGCACGGGUGCGUAACGCGUGGGAACCUGCCCUUAGGUUCGGAAUAACUCUCCGAAAGGGGUGCUAAUACCGGAUAAUGUCUUCGGACCAAAGAUUUAUCGCCUUUGGAUGGGCCCGCGUUGGAUUAGCUUGUUGGUAGGGUAAAAGCCUACUAAGGCGACGAUCCAUAGCUGGUCUGAGAGGAUGAUCAGCCACACUGGGACUGAGACACGGCCCAGACUCCUACGGGAGGCAGCAGUGGGGAAUAUUGGACAAUGGGCGAAAGCCUGAUCCAGCAAUGCCGCGUGAGUGAUGAAGGCCUUAGGGUUGUAAAGCUCUUUUACCCGGGAUGAUAAUGACAGUACCGGGAGAAUAAGCUCCGGCUAACUCCGUG